GGGCGCUUGGUCUAGGGGUAUGAUUUUCGCUUCGCAUCGUCUGGUUGUCGAAACACAGAUGCGCCGCAUGUGAAAGGUCGUGGGUUCAAUUCCCACAGUGUCCA
rnacentral:tRNA from 1 species